CCCAGUGGCCAUCCACGUUGCCACCACGAAACCUCGUCCGUGGAUUUUACGUGGAUGAGUUCCACGAACCUAUUUCGACAUUUUUUCUAGUGCACUCAUUUAAAAAUACUUUCCCUUUCGAUGUUUGACCAUUUUUGAGCAGAUUUAGUUUGAAUUUUUGGGUUUUUAGGGUAAAAUUAAUGUCCGUGGAACUCACGUGGAUGAUCCCCGCAAUUUCCCAAAUUGAGUUUUUGAAGCUCUUUUUGUGCCUAAAUUAUCGGUAAAUGAAUUAAUUGCUCCUCUAAAGCUAUUUCAUUUAACUUUUUUUUAAUUUUUUUGUAAAUUUUACUUCGUGGAAGGGUCUCCGUGGAUGCUCCGUGGAUGUUCCGCGGACGAUCCACGGAACUCCGUGGAUGCUCCGUGGAACUUACGUGGAUGAUCCCCAAUUUCCCCAAAUCGUGUUUUUCAUUACUCUUUUGUGUCUAAAUUAUCAGUAAAUGAAUUUAAAGUGCUCAUCCAAAACUAGUUUAGUUGAUUUUUUUUUAAAUUUUGUAAAAUUUCCCAGCGUGGAAAAUUUUUCGUGGAUGCUCCGUGGAACUCACGUGGAUGAUCCCCAAUUUCCCUAAAUCGUGUUUUUAAAACACUUUUUUUUUGUCUAAAAAUUAUCGGUAAAUGAAUUAAGUGCUCCGCCAAAGCUAUUUUAUUUAAUUUUUUAUUAUUUUUUAAAAUUUUACUUCAUGGAAAGGUCUUCGUGGAUGCUCCGUGGAUGCUCCGCGGAUGAUCCACGGAACUCCGUGGAACUCACGUGGAUGAUCCCGAAUUUCCCAAAAUCAUGUAUUUAUAACAAAUAUUUGUCUAAAUAAUCAGUAAAUGAAUAAAGUGCUCCUCCAAAACUAUUUUAUUUGAUUUUUCUUUAAAAUUAUGCGUAAUUUCACUUCGUGGUAAGGUCUCCGUGGAUGCUCCGUGGAUGCUCCGCGAAUGAUCCACGGAACUCUUAACGCAAAAAUGGAAAAUAGCACGUUUGAAGCAAAUUGUUCAGUUCAUAAGCUGCCCCUUAUCGCUUUUCUAAAUUCAUUAGUCACGUCGUUCUUGCUUAAAUUUCUAAAUUUUGGAAAUUGGUUAAGUGUCCGUGGAGUUUUCGUGGAUGAAUACCCGGACACUUAAAAACAUUUUUGGUUCGUUGGUAUUUCUUAGGUUAAUUAAAUUUUCAUUUUUAAUUAAUAAAUCAUCAUAAAAGUUAAUUACGAGCUCAGAAAACUCAAUAUUUUCAAAUAUAUUCCAAAAUCUAAACUCGCCACCUCGCCAGAAUAGCCACUGCUGCGAUUCAAACUUUUGGAAAGCGCGCGCACUCUCACUAGCCGCAGCGAGCCAAUGAGCGUUGCGCUUGGCUGUUACUGCUGUUUGUUGACAGACGCAGACGGCCGACGACCGCGAGCGCGCGCGAUCUGAGCGCAACGGAAAAGCCGUUGGGCAACGCCGCCGCGUAAUUAAUGUCAGUUUUCGGCCGCAAAUUCUUCCCCAAGUCGUCCAGCAAUAUUCUUAUGAUGUCGCGGUGAUUGCUGUGAAAUACGAAUCAAGUUCAACCGUCCCAGCAAACAUGCCGCAAAUCAAAGAAGAUCCGUGCCCGCGGCUUGCUUUUGUGGCAGUUGUUGCGAGCUAAGGAGGCAAGCUCGUCGAACCAGUGGCGUGGCUGGCUCAAUUGUCCGCAUUGCUCUCCUCUGGAAUUGUCUGGGAGUCUGACAACAGCAAAACAGAGCUGAGAAGCUGACGGAGGCUUCAUAUCUUCGCUGUCACCGUUCCAGUCUUGAGUCUGCUGGUGCUUCUGGACUCGGAUGGAAUCAAUGCGACUCGAGUUCGAGACGAAUAGCUACGUGUGACAGGACGGACAGGUCUUGGAAAUGCUGGACCACUACUUUGAAGAAGAUUGAGUGUGGUACUGUGUAUUGUGUUUUUAAAUGGGUCUAUUUUUGAGCUCAAUUGUUGUAGUUUAUACAUAAUUCAUUUUAAGGCUAAUUAUGUUGCAUACAUAUACUUGUAUUGACUGUAAUAAUGUUUGUAUUACAAUUAAAUCAAAUUUUCUUGCAUGAAAGUUUUGGCAGGUUCAUAUUUUAAAUUAAAGCCAUUAUAAGUUUUAAAUUCACCAUUUUUUGCAAAAGCCUCUAGUGUUCGAAGUCAGCGCAGCCAUAUAUAUGUACUUCCAAGUUUCAUACCCAUGCACUUUGGUUAAGGAUUUAAUUCUACUGAUUUAUUUUCCGGAUUUUAAAUUAUUUAUUUUGAAUCUGAAAACCAAAAUCAGUUUAGCCAAUCUCCGUAUAAACAUGUAAAUAAUAUUUGAACAAAUUUGACGUUUUUACGGUGAUUGGCUAGACUGACUUAUGUUUUUAGCACAUCAAAUCAAAUCAAUUAAAGGGUUUUAAACGCAGAGUGGCAUGAUCGUGUCUUUAUUCUCAGUGGAAGUGCAUUAAAAUCAAAGUAGCAGUUGGCGCCAGACAGCCACUAAGGGGUUUUUGAAACUGUUGAAUGUUCAACAAUUUUAGCUUUUUUAAAUUGAUUGUCAUCUCUUGUUCCUCAUCACCUUAUGGCAACAACCAACAACUGUAAAUUGAUAAAAUUAUCUGUAUCGAUCGAUUGUUAAUGUGUAUUUAUGUAAUAUUUUUGUAAAAGAAAUAGUAUAAAUAAAUAACAAUUUUAAAAUUCAAA